UAUUGUAGCUGUGUUCUUCAUCAAUUUUGUCAUAGUUGAAUAUGCUUACUGACUAUGGAUGCUGUUGAGUCUCAAACAUUGAUCAAUUGCUGAUGUUUUGGUGUUGGAAUUAUUGGAAAAGAUUGAGUAUGUGAUUUUUAAUGAGCAUUCGAUCGCAGACUGUUCUGCCGGGUCUGUAGUUUCUGUUUUAGAUGUGUAAUUUCAAUUGAGCGUAUCUUGGUCAUUCAGACUCCAAUUAGGGCAAAUUUUAUAUUGAGAUUGAUGUUCUGAGAGUAUAUUUUCUAAUGGUUAUAGUCUCGAAGUCUAAUCCUAAACCUAUAGAAUGCUAUAGUCAGAAUUCGAUCAAUGGUUCUGCUAGAAAGUGUGUGUUUGUGAGAUUUUUGGUUUUGAGGUACAAAUUGAUGAAUUUACUUCUUUGCUUUUGGAAUUAAACUUUGAGCUCAUAUGUGCGGAAUAUUUGUUAGGUUCGGAGGUGACAACGAGUACCGCAGCUCCACGUAGGGAGUGACUGCGUUGGUUUUCUUUUUGUUGGAGACCGAGUUUUGCAGGUAUAGGUCGGUGUCCACUACAGGUCGCGUUUUGCAUUUUGUGACUCACUCGAGAAGUGCGUAGUUGAGGCCUGUGGGAGUCUUUGUCUCCUGGCCCGUAGAUGAUUUUUGCUUAAUUUAGUUUUGGAUAAUAGUUGGUUAUGUAAAGUUUAUUUUUUGUCAGACUUCCGCUGUAGUUUGUAAAUGACAAUCAUUUUUGAGAUGUAAAUAAAAUGUGGCUGUUGAACUGUA